rnacentral:rRNA from 1 species
CAGCCGCCGCGGGAAUACGAAGGGGGCUAGCGUUGUUCGGAUUUACUGGGCGUAAAGCGCACGUAGGCGGAUCGAUCAGUCAGGGGUGAAAUCCCAGAGCUCAACUCUGGAACUGCCUUUGAUACUGUCGAUCUGGAGUAUGGAAGAGGUGAGUGGAACCCCGAGUGUAGAGGUGAAAUUCGUAGAUAUUCGGAGGAACACCAGUGGCGAAGGCGGCUCACUGGUCCAUUACUGACGCUGAGGUGCGAAAGCGUGGGGAGCAAACAGGAUUAGAUACCCCAGUAGUCCCUGUCUCUUAUAC